rnacentral:rRNA from 1 species
AUUGAACGCUGGCGGCAUGCCUUACACAUACAAGUCGAACGGUAACGGGCCUUCGGGUGCCGACGAGUGGCGAACGGGUGAGUAAUGCAUCGGAACGUACCUUUCAGUGGGGAUAACGUAGCGAAAGUUACGCUAAUACCGCAUAUUCUGUGAGCAGGAAAGCAGGGGAUCGCAAGACCUUGCGCUGAUUGAGCGGCCGAUGUCAGAUUAGCUAGUUGGUGAGGUAAAGGCUCACCAAGGCGACGAUCUGUAGCGGGUCUGAGAGGAUGAUCCGCCACACUGGAACUGAGACACGGUCCAGACUCCUACGGGAGGCAGCAGUGGGGAAUUUUGGACAAUGGGGGCAACCCUGAUCCAGCCAUGCCGCGUGAGUGAAGAAGGCC